rnacentral:rRNA from 1 species
UACGUAGGGUGCGAGCGUUGUCCGGAAUUAUUGGGCGUAAAGAGCUCGUAGGCGGUUUGUCGCGUCGGCCGUGAAAACUUGGGGCUUAACUCCAAGCUUGCGGUCGAUACGGGCAGACUUGAGUUCGGCAGGGGAGACUGGAAUUCCUGGUGUAGCGGUGAAAUGCGCAGAUAUCAGGAGGAACACCCGUGGCGAAAGCGGCUCUCUGGGACGGUACUGACGCUGAGACGCGAAAGCGUGGGGAGCAAACAGG